rnacentral:rRNA from 1 species
CCAGACUCCUACGGGAGGCAGCAGUAGGGAAUCUUUCACAAUGGGCGAAAGCCUGAUGGAGCAACGCCGCGUGCAGGAUGAAGGCCUUCGGGUUGUAAACUGCUAUUAUAAGCGAGAAAUAUGAUGGUAACUUAUGAAUAAGGAUCGGCUAACUCCGUGCCAGCAGCCGCGGUAAUACGGAGGAUGCGAGCGUUAUCCGGAUUUAUUGGGUUUAAAGGGUGCGUAGGCGGACAGUCAAGUCAGCGGUAAAAAUGCGGUGCUCAACGCCGUACAGCCGUUGAAACUGGCAGUCUUGAGUGGGCGAGAAGUAUGCGGAAUGCGUGGGGUAGCGGUGAAAUGCAUAGAUAUCACGCAGAACUCCGAUUGCGAAGGCAGCAUACCGGCGCCCGACUGACGCUGAGGCACGAAAGCGUGGGUAUCGAACAGGAUUAGAUACCCCUGUAC